GCCUGGAUGGCGAAAUCGGUAGACGCAGCGGACUUAAACUCCGCAGCCCUGCAAGGGGCGUACGGGUUCGAGUCCCGUUCCAGGCACCA
rnacentral:tRNA from 1 species